UACGUAGGGUGCAAGCUGUUAUCCGGAAUUAUUGGGCGUAAAGAGCUCGUAGGCGGUUUGUCGCGUCUGCUGUGAAAACUGGAGGCUCAACCUCCAGCCUGCAGUGGGUACGGGCAGACUAGAGUGCGGUAGGGGAGAUUGGAAUUCCUGGUGUAGCGGUGGAAUGCGCAGAUAUCAGGAGGAACACCGAUGGCGAAGGCAGAUCUCUGGGCCGUAACUGACGCUGAGGAGCGAAAGCGUGGGGAGCGAACAGG
rnacentral:rRNA from 1 species